ACCAACCACACUCUCCAGACAACCCCUAAGUGUGUGUGUGUGUGCGUGUGUGUGUCAGGGAGUGACAGAGUGUUUUUCUCUGAGUAGAAGGAAUGGAGUAAGAAAAAGACGUGUGUAUUUGCACCCUGUGCUUGUGAAUAGUAACACAGAACCCCUUCCACUUGACCGAGGAACCUGGAAGUGGAAAGUUUAGAACUGCGAAAAGUCACAGGACAAGUGGGUCACCAUGCCUUGUCGGUGGAGGGGGCUGCUGGCCAGCUUGCUCUGCAUAUCCACGGCAACAACGCCAUGCCUUGGCCAGAGUGGUGAAGGCGGAGACUGGGGCUCAGGCUUUGAUGUCUCCAUGACAACUCUUGGCGCCGUCUUCAACACGUCUUCCUCUCAGGAGUAUGGAGAUGAACCUGAGGGAUCACAACAAGGAUCCUGGGCAAAAACGCCAUUACCAACUUCACAAGCUCCACCCUCACCGACGCCGGUGUUCCAAGACAAGCCCGAGGUGGACGAGUGCUCUGUCCGUUUCAGGUAAAGCCCGGGUUGGACGAGUGCUCUGUCCGUUUCAGGUAAAGCCCGGGUUGGACGAGUGCUCUGUCCGUUUCAGGUACAGCCCGGGUUGGACGAGUGCUCUGUCCGUUUCAGGUACAGCCCGAGGUGGACGAGUGCUCUGUCCAUUUCAGGUACAGCCCGGGUUGGACGAGUGCUCUGUCCGUUUCAGGUACAGCCCGAGGUGGACGAGUGCUCUGUCCAUUUCAGGUACAGCCCGGGUUGGACGAGUGCUCUGUCCGUUUCAGGUACAGUCCGACGCAUCUGAAUGAACUGUGGUCCAACCAAUCAUCAUAGAAGUCACUAAAUUAGUUCAUAGAGUUCAUCUGUGUCCAAUUCAAGUGAUUCACAGGUAUUUCAGGUUGAAUACACCUGUCUCUGGGAGGUCGCACAGUUGGUUUAACUAUCCUAAUGAAAACUACAAAACAUCAUAAAGAAGGUUUUUCAUGAAGACCAGUCAGAAGUAGGAUAUAAGUACAUUUCCAGAGCAUUGUAUAGCUUCUUGUUUGGGGUAGUUGUAUCUCCAUAUCUGGGUAAUAUUAUUUUUCUCUUGUAUAAACCCCCUGCCAUAAAGAAAUCAUUCCACUCAGCAACGUCUUGAUUUCAGCCAGACAUUGACUGUCUAGAGAGAGGAUCUGUGGAAAGCAUGUCCUCUCAUUACCUAAUAAAUGUCAAUAGUAAUGAACAUGUUCAGCACCCGCCAGGCCUCAGCCAGGCAACUCAAGGUCCAGAGACAGAACCUGUCUCACCUGAAGGCCAUCCAGCAUGGGAACCAGGCCGUGUGUGAGAACCUUGUCCAAUACGUUGGAGCAGAGCUACAGACGAGGAGAGCUAUGAGGACAUCAUCAAAGAGAAUAUAGCUGGCAUCAGGGAGGAGCACCAGGGUUGUGAUCGGGUGGUGCAGAAGGUGGUGCAGGACCUGGAAGCUGAGCUGGAAGGAGACUUACUGGAGGCCCUGGCUGGAAUACAGAGAAUCAAAGAGAGGUCCCUGGUGUUCGAAGAUCUCCUCCAGGCAGCAGCAGUCAUUGCCGCAAGGCUGGAUACCUCAUCUCAGGCUCUUCACACUUCCUUCACCAAGCAGCUCAAAGACUCCCUGAAAACAUUGCAUCACUAAAGAGAAUACCAUAACUAUACAAGAAGAAAACCUGGUCCCAGAUUUGUUCAUAAAAGAUGGCUGAAGUAGAAAGCACAAACGUCUCUGGGAUCAGGAGCUGAGGAUAACUCUCUCUGGAUUUUUACUUCCCCCCUCUGUCCACCCUGCAGCAGCAGAAAGACUUAUAACAUCUGUGUCUAUUGUCAAAACAUACAAUGCUUUCUGGAAAGAGGAGUCUGCAGCCUUCUAUAAAACAGUUAACCGGUCUUUCAGCCAGUUGUUUCGUCUCUGCUAAGCUACAGACAACAGGCAUUGAAGGACCACUUCCCUUGAAAUCACUGAAAGCUGAUGUCCUGACUGACCUACUUCUAUUGACCUGUCUUAUGUACUUCUAAUGACCUGUCGUAUGUACUUCUGAUGUUCUGUCUGAUGUUCUGUCUGAGGUUCUGUCUCAUGUUCUGUUUGAUGUUCUGUCUGAUGUUCAGUCUAAUGUUCAGUCUGAUGUUCUGUCUGAUAUUUUUUUUUAAUGUUCUACCUUAAGUUCUGUCUGACGUUCCACCUGGCGUUCUGUCUGAUGUUCUGUUUGAUGUUCUAUCUGCGUUAUCAAAUGGCAUCAUCCACGCUCAACUGUUGCCAUAGUUGUAUUUUUGAUGGCUGAUACACAGUGUUUACUGCAUCCUGUUAUUUGAAAUAACAAGCGGUAGGUGUGGUUGUUGUGACAGGUGAAAGGUUACACUGAGCCAGUGCUGAUAGCAGCCUGGACCAGUCAUGGUAGAGUAGAUAAGAUUAAACUGUAUUAUCGUUGAACACGUAGAAGUACAGUAGAACAAAAUGCAGUUAGGAGCCAACCAUAAGUGCAAACAGAAGAGGGAACCGGGUAAUUAAACAGUCAGUGAGCUGACUGACCUGUGGGAGGGUUGGACUACAUGAAUCUUAUCAAGAGUCAAUCUACUGCUCUGUUAACACCACCUGGUUACUGGAGUAGAGAAACUCAAUGCCAGCAUAGACUCUUUGUAUAAUAAUGGCCCAGAAAUUAGAACUGCUGCUCUUAGGGUUAGGUUAGGAUAGCUAAGCCUAACCCUAAACCUAACCUUAACCCUAACCCACACCAGAUGUUUCCAUCCAAUUGCUGUUAUUUCUGGAAGAUGUUUGAAACCAAAUUUCAAGUUUGGAGCGACUAUUUCACUGUUUAUGGAUGUUUAUGUCUAAUGCUCUUGGCCUAUUAGCUCUCAGGCAGAAAGGCUUCUGGAGGUGCCCUAAAUUAUACACUACAUCUUACAUAGUGCACAACUCAUGACCAAAACCCUUUGGGCCUUGCUCAGAAGUGAUAUGCUUAAUGACUAGUGUGCAAUUUAGGACGAAUUCUUGGUUUAUAUCCUGCAGGUGGCGCUGGUUAGCUGGAGUCAUGAGAUCUCUCUGCCUUGGCCCCAAGGUGAGAUUGGAGAUCAGGUCAGGCAAAUCCUGCUUGAAGGGAAGGCAUUCUCAUAAUGUCUGUGUUUGACAUUUUUUUGGCUUUUGUUCAUCCAGUAAAGUGACACAAAAGAGACAACAAAGAGACAGAGAGAUAUUCUGUUUGGAUUGCAAGCUUGAAAAAUGAAAGGAUUUGCCAAUCCAGUGAAUAGUGAAGGUGAGCUAUGGGACUGUGCAUCCUGAGUCCCUGGGUCGAGACCUAAACCCAAAACGUAAAGAUUUCUGAAUGUCUGGAAUAACGUUCCUGAGAGCUGCAUGGAACUAAAUUCCUGCACAUUUCCUGCUAUUCCCCAAGUGUUGCUCUGGUCCUGGCCAUGUUAAUUUGUUAUCUGACUAGGAGACUAUAUUAUACUUUAUAUAUCUAUAUUUUACCAAACCUAUGUUCAGUAGGUAUAUUUAAAACCAAUAUUGAAUAUAGUAAAACAAUACUUAUUGCAACAAAUGUAUAGUUAUAAAUACAUGCAUUUCCGGUCAGGCAUUUGCUGGGGUUCUAUUAGAUUGGUUCUGUUAAAAAGUGGAACUGUAUUAGAGGACAAUCUGGUUGGGAACCACGUGUUUGCUUGAGUCACUUUGGCGUCCAUUCAUCAUAGAAUGUAAAUGGCGCUGAUAUGUUAACUUCCCAUUGGACGAAGCAAACAGCUGGACUGUGUCCAUGGUUACAGGAGAAUAUAGUAUAGACAUGGGAUGUGGUGGAGUGUUUAUUGCAUGAUUUACUAUUACCCCUUCCUCUGAAAUGUCUUAAAUGACAUGAGAGGAUUCUCCAUCCAGCCCUGUUCGCGUUUAAAAACAGACAGAGACACAAGUAUGUGGCUAUGGGCACCCUAUUCUAUACACCAGGCUCUGUUCAAAAUAGUGCACCAUAUAGAGAAUAGCAUGUCAUUUGGUGCACUGCUGGUAUGAGGUCAGGGAGGAAUUAUUUAUUCAGCCUAAAUCAGUGGGAGGGUUUCCUCUUAAGACUGGGCUUUCCGUUUCUGUUCUGGGUAUGUUCUUGUUCUCCUGUAGAAAGAUGUGUGCUCCUGUUGUUACAGUAUUUUAUGGGAGAUUAUGUCAUCCUUUCAGAAUGCUUUAAUAUUCCUAAACAGGAAAAUGUAAUGGAGUAGUGUAUCAAUUAAGUAUAAAGACAAGACGUUUUGUGUUACAUUUGUUUUAUUUCACCCAGCUGUGGAAAUAAAGUUAAAUUCAAG